rnacentral:rRNA from 1 species
ACGUGUUUAACUAUGGCAGUAGAAAGCUACUCUGAGUUAGCUGCAUAAAAUAAUUUUAUUGUGUUCAUAAGAUUUUAUUUAUGCUUGGAUUAUUAGCAGCUAGUUUUUUAUUGGAACGGGUGUUUUUUAAGAAUAUUUGAGUAUUAAAGGGGAUAGGACACAGUGCCAGCAUCCGCGGUUAAUCUGUUUUCUUUGCUUUUUGGUAAACUGAUUUUGUGUAUUUAUGA